GCGGGGGUGGUGGAAUUGGUAGACACGCUACCUUGAGGUGGUAGUGGCGCAAGCCGUGGGGGUUCAAGUCCCCCCUUCCGCA
rnacentral:tRNA from 1 species